ensembl:lncRNA
GGAGCUUCCACCCUUGAAGCAAUCUCCGCCGCCCUCGAAGCUGCCUUUGCAGCAUUGGAAAGAUUUUCUGUCACACCCAAAGAAGCCUCUGGCGCUGCCUUGCUCGAUGCAGCUUCUGCUGCCAUCGAUGCAGCCUCUGCCACCCUCGAAGCAGCCUCUGAUGCUGCCGCCUCCGAGGUCGUCUCUGCUGCCCCAGAUGUAGCCUCCGUCGCUACCACUCCCGAAGCAGCCUCUGACGCUGCCGCCCCUGAAGUAGCCUCCGUUGCUACCGCCCCAGAAGCAGCCUCUGACGCUGCCGCCCCUGAAGUAGCCUCCGUUGCUACCGCCCCAGAAGCAGCCUCUGACGCUGCCGCCUCCAAGGUCGUCUCUGCUGCCCCAGAUGUAGCCUCCGUCGCUACCACUCCCAAAGCAGCCUCUGCCUCUCCCGAAGCAGCUUCUGAUGCUGCCACCCCCGAAGCAGCCUCUGACGCUGCCGCCCCCGACGUAGCCUCUGUCGCUACCACCCCAGAAGCAGUCUUUGAUGCCACUGACGUAGCCUCCGUCGCUACCGCUCUCGAAGCACCCACUGCUGCCCCCGACGUAGCCUCUGACGCUGCCGCCCCAGAAGCAGUCUCUGACGCUGCCGCCCCCGACGUAGCCUCUGUCGCUACCACCCCAGAAGCAGCCUCUGAUGCCACUGACGUAGCCUCCGUCGCUACCGCUCCCGAAGCACCCACUGCUGCCCACGACGUAGCCUCUGUUGCUAGCAACCCCGAAGCAGCCUCUGUCGCUGCUGUCCUUGAAGCAGCCUCUGAUGAAAUUACUGAUGGUGACGCCACUGAGGCCUACGCCACAGCAGAACCAGCCGCCGCUCUCCCUGCAGACCGAGCCGUCGCUGACCCUGCAGACCGAGCCGUCGCUCACCCUGCAGACCCAGCCGUCGCUGACCCAGCAGACCCAGCCGACGCUCACCCAGCUUGUGCAUACCCUACAGCCAGCGCUGCCGACCCGGACCCCGCAGCCACCGCUGCCGACCCGGACCCCGCAGCCACCGCUGCCGACCCACACCCCGCAGCUGACCCGGACCCUGCUGCCACAGCUGCCAACCAAGAUCCUCCAGCAUCCGUUUCCGAUGCAGGCCCAGCAGCACCCUCUGCCGAGACCGGUCCAGCAGCACCUUCUGAUGGCGUCGCUGCUGAGGGCUCUGCUGUCCCGAGCGCCCCUGUCCCGAGCGCCCCUGUCCCGAGCGCCCCUGUCCCGAGCGCCCCAGGCGCCCCUGUCCCGAGCGUCCCAGGCGCCCCUGUCCCCAGCGUCCCAGGCGCCCCUGUCCCGAGCGUCCCAGGCGCCCCUGUCCCGAGCGCCCCUGUCCCGAGCGCCCCUGUCCCGAGCGCCCCUGUCCCGAGCGUCCCAGGCGCCCCUGUCCCGAGCGUCCCAGGCUCCCCUGUCCCGAGCGUCUCAGGCGCCCCGGUCCCGAGCGUCCCAGGCUCCCCUGUCCCGAGCGCCUCAGGCGUCCCGGUCCCGAGCGUCUCCGGCGUUCCUGUCCAAGGUGUCCUUGCGCCGGUUCCAGGCGUCCAUGCGCCGGCCCCAGGCGCUCCGGAUCCUGUCUCCAGUGUUCCUGGGUUCCCUGUCCCAGCUGCAGCAGACCCAGGGUUCGGUGCCGCCAGCCCUAAUGAACCAGCGAGUCCAGGUGCCACGUCUACCCCAGCCACUGGCCCUGCAACUCCAAACACCAAUCGAUAUCGCUGGCAUCUAUUUGUUGUUAGGGUUGUUGUUGUGUUUAUUGUUGGUCUGUUUGGCCGGUCGCCAAAGACUCUGCCCCUGUUUGGCCACCCACCCGACCG